CCUACGGGAGGCUGCAGUGGGGAAUAUUGCACAAUGGGGGAAACGCUGAUGCAGCGAAGCCGCGUGAGCGAUGACGUCUCUAGGUAUGUAAAGCUCUAUCUGCAGGGAAGAAGAUGACGGUACCUGACUAAGAAGCCCCGGCUAACUACGUGCCAGCAGCCGCGGUGAUACGUCGGGGGCAAGCGUGAUCCGGAUUUACUGGGUGUAAAGGGAGCGUAGACGGCGAUGCAGGCAAGAUGGGAAAGCCCGGGGCUCAACCCCGGGACUGCAUUUGGAACUGUGUGGCUGGAGUGUCGGAGAGGCAGGCGGAAUGCCUAGUGUAGCGGUGAAAUGCGUAGAUAUUAGGAGGAACACCAGUGGCGAAGGCGGCCUGCUGGACGAUGACUGACGUUGAGGCUCGAAAGCGUGGGGAGCAAACAGGAUUAGAUACCCGGGUAGUC
rnacentral:rRNA from 1 species